rnacentral:rRNA from 1 species
CGGGGGGCAGCAGUGGGGAAUAUUGGACAAUGGGCGAAAGCCUGAUCCAGCAAUGCCGCGUGAGUGAUGAAGGCCUUAGGGUUGUAAAGCUCUUUUACCCGGGAUGAUAAUGACAGUACCGGGAGAAUAAGCUCCGGCUAACUUCGUGCCAGCAGCCGCGGUAAUACGAGGGGAGCUAGCGUUAUUCGGAAUUACUGGGCGUAAAGCGCACGUAGGCGGCUUUGUAAGUUAGAGGUGAAAGCCCAGAGCUCAACUCUGGAAUUGCCUUUAAGACUGCAUCGCUUGAAUCCAGGAGAGGUGAGUGGAAUUCCGAGUGUAGAGGUGAAAUUCGUAGAUAUUCGGAAGAACACCAGUGGCGAAGGCGGCUCACUGGACUGGUAUUGACGCUGAGGUGCGAAAGCGUGGGGAGCAAACAGGAUUAGAUACCCCAGU